UGUUUAGCAUUGUUUCAUGGAUUUCCUGCUAUCUAUGUGUACUAAGUGCAAUCUCAUUAGGUUAAAUAUUAGACACAAUGGGCUAGUUGGAUCCGACCAAAAUGGCAGUGGUAAAAGUGAAUCAUUCACGCUAACCUAUUCUCAAUAGAAUAAACAUCUAAUGCUGCCAACUCUUGCACUGUGUCUAUAGACAUCAAAUGGACUCCUAGGUCAAGCAAGUGACCAACAAUAACUUCUCUUCUU
rnacentral:misc_RNA from 1 species